rnacentral:rRNA from 1 species
UGGGGAAUUUUGGACAAUGGGCGAAAGCCUGAUCCAGCAAUGCCGCGUGUGUGAAGAAGGCCUUCGGGUUGUAAAGCACUUUUGUCCGGAAAGAAAUCCUUGGCUCUAAUACAGUCGGGGGAUGACGGUACCGGAAGAAUAAGCACCGGCUAACUACGUGCCAGCAGCCGCGGUAAUACGUAGGGUGCAAGCGUUAAUCGGAAUUACUGGGCGUAAAGCGUGCGCAGGCGGUUUGCUAAGACCGAUGUGAAAUCCCCGGGCUCAACCUGGGAACUGCAUUGGUGACUGGCAGGCUAGAGUAUGGCAGAGGGGGGUUAGAAUUCCACGUGUAGCAGUGAAAUGCGUAGAGAUGUGGAGGAAUACCGAUGGCGAAGGCAGCCCCCUGGGCCAAUACUGACGCUCAUGCACGAAAGCGUGGGGAGCAAACAGGAUUAGAUACCCCUGGUAGUCCACGCCCUAAACGAUGUCAACUAGUUGUGGGGAUUCAUUUCCUUAGUAACGUAGCUAACGCGUGAAGUUGACCGCCUGGGGAGUACGGUCGCAAGAUUAAAACUCAAAUGAAUUGACGGGGUC